ACUUAAAAUUAUCUAAAUUUAUAAUUCUAAAUAAAAUAUGUAAAAUAAUAAGGAUAGCUAGAUUUAAAAAGUCAUUUAUUAAUCUCUCAGGUGUAAGACAUUUUAAUUGUUAGUGUUUUCGUGAAUGUUGGAAGAUAUUUUAAAAGCAGUCUUAAAUAUUUCAAAUUAAACUAAAAAAACUAUUAUUAAUUAAUUUACCAGGAGUAAGUAAGUAAUCUAGAAAAAAGUAAUCAGUCACAUUGCAGUUACAGGUAAAAGGUAUAUUAGCUUUGAUUAUUUUUUUUAUCUAGAGAGAGCAAUAAGUUUCGAUCGCAAUAAUCAAGACAAUUAAUAUAUAUUUAGUUAAACCGAAUAUCAUUUAAGAAGUUUUAAUCAAUUUAGUUACAUUUUUUAUCCAAUAUGAUCUAUAGCCUCAAUGGAUAACUGGAUUCAAUCAUUUUGUGAUAAUAAUAAAAAUUUUGUUCAAUAAGGUAAUCUAUUAUCAAUCUCGGCUCGGGAAUGUAAAGCUAAUAUCUGCAGUGUUUGCUGUUUUGCUAUUAUAAUUAAGUAAUCUAGAUUAAAUUAGUUUACAAGGAAAGUGGUAAAGUGUCAAAUUUAUUACAACAAAAUAUUUUAUAAUGACUUAAAUUAACAGUCACUUGGGAAUUUAUUAGUACAAAAACUACCUUUGAGUUAAAUUUACAAAUUAUUUAAUGCAUUCUUCCGUUAUGGAAAAAAUAAUUUAUAAUUUAAUUACUGAUGAUAAAUAUUACUCAAAAUAUUUUUAAUCAUCCUCCAAAAUCUUUACCAAAAGUAUAUUUGCAGGACCUAGUCAGAGUUUAGAAACUAAUUAUUGCUUGAUAUUCGUUCGACAUGUACAAAUACGGAAGCUCUUUCUAGGUAAAUAAAUUAAUGAAGCUUUUAAUAUUCAAUAAUAUAUCUUACAAUCGUAGACAAAAAAAUCUUUUGAACUUUGAUAAAUUUAUAAGUAAUAUUUUACUAAUAUUUAAUUCCAAAUAUCACUGUCUUCUAACAGUCAAUAGCUAUGGUAGUCAACAAUUCAAUAUAUUUAUAUAUAUUACCAAUGUGAAUGAUGAAUGAGCCAGUUUUGUGUGAAUUUCUAAUAUUUUGUACAAUGCCAAUAAUUGUCUGAACAAAGUUGAUUGUGAAUUAAUAUUGCUUGUGUAUUACAUACAAACUUAAUUAUACUUUUAUUUUGUUUAGACUUCAUAAUAAGGAAGUUUCAAAACCUCUAGAAUUUAAUUAAUUUCACAAUAGAAAUAUGUAGUUUAGACUUCGACUUUUCAAUAGUACACUUAGUAACUCAAGAUUGUUGUACUGUCUUUAUUCAAACCAUAGGUUUUUUUAUAAAAUAUUUUUUAUUACCAAAUACAUUAAAUAAAUCAGACAGGUAAAAUUUAGAUUUAAGGAUUUUAUAUUUAAAGUAUAGAAUUAAACAUAACUUAUGAAGUAA